rnacentral:rRNA from 1 species
AAAUUGACGGGACCCGCACAAGCGGUGGAUGAUGUGGAUUAAUUCGAUGCGACGCGAAAACCUUACCUACCCUUGACAUGUCCGGAAUCCUGCAGAGAUGCGGGAGUGCCCGAAAGGGAAUCGGAACACAGGUGCUGCAUGGCUGUCGUCAGCUCGUGUCGUGAGAUGUUGGGUUAAGUCCCGCAACGAGCGCAACCCUUGUCAUUAGUUGCCAUCAUUUGGUUGGGCACUCUAAUGAGACUGCCGGUGACAAACCGGAGGAAGGUGGGGAUGACGUCAAGUCCUCAUGGCCCUUAUGGGUAGGGCUUCACACGUCAUACAAUGGUCGGUACAGAGGGUUGCCAACCCGCGAGGGGGAGCUAAUCCCACAAAGCCGAUCGUAGUCCGGAUCGCAGUCUGCAACUCGACUGCGUGAAGUCGGAAUCGCUAGUAAUCGUGGAUCAGAAUGUCACGGUGAAUACGUUCCCGGGUCUU